rnacentral:rRNA from 1 species
GCCAGCAGCCAUAUCACCCUGCAGCCCGAGACUGGUUGCCCACUGAAGAUAAGCAGGGUUGAGCCUGGUCAGUACCUGGAUGGGAGACCUCCUGGGAAAAUCUAGGUUGCUGCUGGAA